AAAGGGUGCGUAGGCGGCCUGUUAAGUCAGGGGUGAAAGACGGUAGCUCAACUAUCGCAGUGCCCUUGAUACUGAUGGGCUUGAAUUGACUAGAGGUAGGCGGAAUGUGACAAGUAGCGGUGAAAUGCAUAGAUAUGUCACAGAACACCGAUUGCGAAGGCAGCUUACUAUGGUCUUAUUGACGCUGAGGCACGAAAGCGUGGGGAUCAAACAGGAUUAGAUACCCGUGU
rnacentral:rRNA from 1 species